CAGGAUUGGCUGCGAGGCGUUCUUAUGAAACACACUGGUAAAUGAUUCAGAGCAGACGCUUGGGCUCUCCAAAGUGACAGGGAACAUGACACACCCCGGUUAGUCGAAUGCCAAGUCAAUAGGAGAGACUUCAGGAAGAUCACACCAGCUGGUUUGGGCUCAUGACACGGACGCAGAGGUUGCUCUGCCAACAGGGAGACUCCUCUCGAGAUUUCAGGACUCGGACGACCACUGAUCGAACCUUAUAAACCUUGGAUUGCUUAACCGUGACAGCAACAUAAUCCUCUUGCCCUUCCAGUGGACGGAUUGGGAUGCCCAAGCCAGCCACAAAACCCUCGACCUGCAAUUUGUCCUACCUACCUGAUAUGGUGGGGGAAAGGUGGCACAGGAAUUACGGAAGUGGUCAACAGAUGACUGGUUCUGCUUGAGACCCGUACCAUGAGAGGAAGCUCACCCCUGACACUGUCUGGAGGGCCAGGAUGACCCAGAGACCCAGGAUAACAUUACUGGCAAAAAAAAAAAAAUUAAAGUCAAUGAAAUGAUCCCUAAAUAUAUUCUUCUAUACUCAUAGAUUAGGGUCUAACCCAACUGUCAUCAGAGAGGCUUCAUCCAGCAGCCAAUAGAAACAGAUGAAGACCUACAGCCAAGCAUUAGGCAGAGCCUGGGGAAUCCUGCAGAAGAGGGGAAGAAAAAAUUGUAGAAGCUAGAGGGGUCAAGGAUAUCCCAGGAAACCCCAUAGAAUCAACUAAUCUGGACUCCGGAGCUCAUAGAGACCGAACCGACAACCACGGAGCCUGCGUGAGACAGACUUAGGUCCUCUACAUAUAUGUUACAAUUGUGUAGCUUGGUCUUCUUGUGGGUCUCCUAACAGUGGAAGCAGGGGAUGCCUCUGACUCUGUUGCCUGCUUUGGGGACCCUUUUCCUCCUACUGGAUUGCCUCACCAGACUUUAAAGAGGAGGUGCCUAGCCUUACUGUAACUUGAUCUACCAUGACUGGCUGAUGUCCGAGGGUUGCUUGCCCUUUUUUUCUGAAGAGAAAGAA